UCAAGAAAAUCUUGCGUUGAGUGAAUC
rnacentral:sRNA from 1 species